UACGUAGGCAGCAAGCGUUGUUCGGAGUUACUGGGCGUCAAGGGUGUGUAGGCGGUUGUUUAAGUUUGGUGUGAAAUCUCCCGGCUCAACUGGGAGGGUGCGCCGAAUACUGAAUGACUUGGAGUGCGGGAGAGGAAAGUGGAAUUCCUGGUGUAGCGGUGAAAUGCGUAGAUAUCAGGAGGAACACCGGUGGUGUAGACGGCUUUCUGGACCGUAACUGACGCUGAGACACGAAAGCGUGGGUAGCAAACAGG
rnacentral:rRNA from 1 species